GAUGAACGCUGGCAGCGUGCCUAAUACAUGCAAGUCGAGCGAACGGACUAGAAGCUUGCUUCUCUGAUGUUAGCGGCGGACGGGUGAGUAACACGUGGAUAACCUACCUAUAAGACUGGGAUAACUUCGGGAAACCGUAGCUAAUACCGGAUAAUAUUUUGAACCGCAUGGUUCAAAAGUGAAAGACGGUCUUGCUGUCACUUAUAGAUGGAUCCGCGCUGCAUUAGCUAGUUGGUAAGGUAACGGCUUACCAAGGCAACGAUGCAUAGCCGACCUGAGAGGGUGAUCGGCCACACUGGAACUGAGACACGGUCCAGACUCCUACGGGAGGCAGCAGUAGGGAAUCUUCCGCAAUGGGCGAAAGCCUGACGGAGCAACGCCGCGUGAGUGAUGAAGGUCUUCGGAUCGUAAAACUCUGUUAUUAGGGAAGAACAUAUGUGUAAGUAACUGUGCACAUCUUGACGGUACCUAAUCAGAAAGCCACGGCUAACUACGUG
rnacentral:rRNA from 1 species